UACGGAGGGUGCAAGCGUUAUCCGGAUUCACUGGGCUUAAAGGGUGCGUAGGUGGGAAUGUAAGUCAGUGGUGAAAUCUCCGUGCUUAACAUGGAAACUGCCAUUGAUACUAUGUUUCUUGAAUCUUCCGGAGGUCAGCGGAAUAUGUCAUGUAGCGGUGAAAUGCUUAGAUAUGACAUAGAACACCAAUUGCGAAGGCAGCUGACUACAGGGGCAUUGACACUGAGGCACGAAAGCGUGGAGAUCAAACAGG
rnacentral:rRNA from 1 species